UCGUCUUCUGAACCCUACACAUAAAAGAUAAUGCCUGCCCAGUGACAGUUUAAACGGCCGCGUUAGCGUGAGCGUGCUAAGGUAGCGUAAUAAAUAGCCUCUUAAUUGGAGGCCAGUGAAAGGCAAGACUAAGAACACCUGUGCCCUUUAUGUCAAAAAAACUUUUCGUCCGAGUGAAAAGACUCGGAUAAUGGGGGAAGACGAAAAGACCCCGCGGAACUUUCACCUUUUCUUACACUCCUGCCUAGGAGCAUAAAAGUGUAAUAGGUUUGAUUGGGGCAAUCUCGGAACCACCUAAACUUCCGAUCUCAUUAAAAGAAAUUUAAAAUUUGGUAUAGACUAUAAUAGUAGUUACCCCGGGGAUAACAGCGUCAUCCAACUUAAGAGUACACAUCGAAAGUUGGGUUUGCGACCUCGAUGUUGGCUUAAGGUUAUCCACAUUAGUGCAGCCGCUAUGAAAGGAUAGUCUGUUCGACUAUUAUACCCUU
rnacentral:rRNA from 1 species